AAAAGUCGUAACAAGGUUGCCGUAGGUGAACCUGCGGCAGGAUCAUUAAUGAUUUCAAACCUUAAAAACAUCGUCCUGUAUUGGGCUGCUUCUCGAGAGUCUGCUUAGGCAGUCUCGAUCGAGUGAGCUAAACAUACAUACAAACUUUGUUUUCACAUGACUCGACACACCAAUUAUUAGUGUCGCCGUAAAAAAAAAAAAACUUGCCGAUCGGUGGAUCACUCGGCUGGUG
rnacentral:misc_RNA from 1 species